GCCCAUGCCAACCAUCACACCAGUAUGACGAGGACGACCAACAAUGCUGGGAAACACAGCACGUGGAGCAUCAUCUCCGGCAAAUCCAGCCUUAAAGCAAAUGUUGAAAUCAAUUCCCCCAAAACCAGUAUACAGGGUUAAAAAAUAAAAAAAGAAGUUAAAAGGUUAACCGGCAUAGGUUGCAACUAACCGGCGCGAAUGCGAUGCAAAAGAAAUUAGUAGCCUGUUGAAUCUAGUUUAUAGAAAGAGGCUUUUUUUCUUAAAAAUGAAAAAUAUUCCCUAUCCCAAAAUACUUUUGGCAGUCUCAGAAAACAUAAUGAAACAACCCUCCAACCCAAAAUCCACCCAAAAGAAAAAUGAAACUAAUAUAAAUACUUUACAUUUUGAAAUUUCAUUCAGAUUCCAAAUGCAAUAAAGUCCAAUGGCAUACCUUAACCAUUCCCGUUCCAUUGUCACAGACAAGGGGUUGAAUGUCCUCAGCGUCAGCCAUCUUCUACUGCCUGAUAAACCAAACUGGUAAAGGUUCAUAAUUGCUAGUAAAAUGCACCAUGAUCACUGCUAUUUUCUCCCCUUAUGUUUAUUCAAGGCUCAUUAGCACUGUAUUACUAAGCUAAAUAAAUCAAAAGCAAGGUAAAAUUGGCAUUGCGGAUAUUGUGAUGCAACACAAUCAUAAUAUGCCCCCAAGGUACCAUAGGAGAUAAUAGAGUGUGAAUUGAUAAUUACAGAGGAAAAAAAGGCAUCUUUUCACAGAUGUCAAAGACUAUAGCAUUGCAAUAAAUGUAUCACUUGAUAAAUUAAAUAAAGGCAUUUUGGUGUAUAUAUCACAUCAGCCAUAUAACAUUGGCCCUUUUAGGCUGAUAUCAUUCUCUUCUUUUCUUUUUGUUUUGGUUUUCCUAACGUAAAGUUCAUGUUUUUGUUGAUUAAUUUCUAUCUUGAUACUGCAAUCUGCUUCCAUUUUCAUUUCUGUUCAAGCUACAACCAAUGCAUAUAAAUCCAAUCAAAUGAGUUAAAACGCAAAGAACCCACAAAUGUAAACAAAAAUUCCGAUCUCAAACAUCAAAAAAAAAAAAUCAUUCGAUCUUCAAUCCAAUUUAACAAAAUCACUAAACAUAAAGAAUCAAGAAAACAAACUUAACAAUUUCGAAAGCAGAUCCAAUCGCAGCUUAACAGAGGGAGAAAUGGAAAGGAAAUGAGAGAUGAGAAACAGACCUUAAUUAAGGAAAGGAAAGAAAAGAGUAAUUGAGAGAGACAGAGAGAGAGAGAG
rnacentral:misc_RNA from 1 species